rnacentral:rRNA from 1 species
AUUGAACGCUGGCGGCAUGCUUUACACAUGCAAGUCGAACGGCAACACGGGGGCAACCCUGGUGGCGAGUGGCGAACGGGUGAGUAAUACAUAGGAACGUAUCCUGAAAUGGGGGAUAGCUCGGCGAAAGCCGGAUUAAUACCGCAUACGAUCUACGGAUGAAAGCAGGGGAUUCGCAAGAACCUUGCGUUUCUGGAGCGGCCUAUGUCUGAUUAGCUAGUUGGCGGGGAAGAGCCACCAAGGCGACGAUCAGUAGCUGGUCUGAGAGGAUGAUCAGCCACACUGGGACUGAGACACGGCCCAGACUCCUACGGGAGGCAGCAGUGGGAAUUUUGGACAAUGGGGCAACCCUGAUCCAGCCAUGCCGCGUGAGUGAAGAAGGCCU